AUUGAACGCUGGCGGCAUGCCUUACACAUGCAAGUCGAACGGCAGCACGGGUGCUUGCACCUGGUGGCGAGUGGCGAACGGGUGAGUAAUACAUCGGAACGUACCUUAUCGUGGGGGAUAACGCAGCGAAAGCUGUGCUAAUACCGCAUACGCCCUGAGGGGGAAAGCGGGGGAGCGAGAGACCUCGCGCGAUUAGAGCGGCCGAUGCCUGAUUAGCUUGUUGGUGGGGUAAAAGCCCACCAAGGCGACGAUCAGUAGCUGGUCUGAGAGGACGAUCAGCCACGCUGGGACUGAGACACGGCCCAGACUCCUACGGGAGGCAGCAGUGGGGAAUUGUGGACAAUGGGGGCAACCCUGAUCCAGUAAUGCCGCGUGAGUGAAGAAGGCCUUCGGGUUGUAAAGCUCUUUUGUCAGGGAAGAAACACCGGCUCUAACACAGUCCGGGAAUGACGGUACCUGAAGAAUAAGCACCGGCUAACUACGUGCCAGCAGCCGCAGUAA
rnacentral:rRNA from 1 species